GGAAGGGGCCUUUUAGGCAUCCUCUCCCAAGACUUUCAAACCCGGCCCUUGUGGCCGGGUUUUUUCUUUGGUGGUU
rnacentral:sRNA from 1 species